GGGCUCGUGGCUUAGUCUGGACAUAGCACCGGCCUUCUAAGCCGGGGGUCGUGGGUUCGAAUCCCACCGGGCCCGC
rnacentral:tRNA from 1 species